rnacentral:rRNA from 1 species
GAUGAACGCUGGCGGCGUGCCUAAUACAUGCAAGUCGAGCGGAGCGGGGACGGGUGAGUAACACGUGGAUACCCUCAUAUAAGACUGGGAUAACUUCGGGAAACCGGAGCUACAUCGGACACUUGUACAUGGUUCUGCGCUGCAUUAGCUAGUUGGUAGGGUAACGGCUUACCAAGGCAACGAUGCAUAGCCGACCUGAGAGGGUGAUCGGCCACACUGGAACUGAGACACGGUCCAGACUCCUACGGGAGGCAGCAGUAGGGAAUCUUCGACAAUGGGCGAAAGCCUGACGCAGCAACGCCGCGUGAGUGAUGAAGGUCUUCGGAUUGUAAAACUCUGUAAUUAGGGAAGCGUUACCAACUCAGAAAGCCACGGCUAACUACGUGCCAGCAGCCGCGGUAAUAC